UGAGGAGUUUGGACUCCUCUUAGAUCUUCCUCGAAAUAAAUGAUGUCAUCAUUUGUUCGCUGAUAUUUUGAGGAGCUUUUAGAGUCAUCUGCCCCCUGUAGUCUCGAUCCUGUUGAGAUCAUAUUGAUCACACCCACCGUCGGUUGGACGUGAGUUCUUCCUUGGGAUGCAACUGUGGUUGAGUAUCAGUAGGCAGCUGCAC
rnacentral:lncRNA from 1 species